rnacentral:rRNA from 1 species
UUGGAGGGCAAGUCUGGUGCCAGCAGCCGCGGUAAUUCCAGCUCCAAUAGCGUAUAUUAAAGUUGUUGCAAGUUAAAAAGCUCGUAGUUGAAUUUCGGGGUUAGUAGGUUGGUCAUGCCUCUGGUAUGUACUGGUCUCACUGAUUCCUCCUUCCUGAUGAGCCGUAAUGCCAUUAAUUUGGUGUUGGCGGGGUAAUUUGGACUGUUACUUUAGAAAAAAUUGAGUGUUUAAAGCAAGCUAACGCUUAGAAUACAUUAGCAUGGAAUAAUAGAAAUAGGACGUUCGAUCCUUAUUUUGUUGGUUUCUAGGAUUGACGUAAUGAAUUAAGUAGGGAUAGGUUGGGGG